rnacentral:rRNA from 1 species
AUGGACUUCUUCUAUGCCUCAACGACCACCAUUUUGGGCAAUGGAGCCAAAACACCUUUUUGGGACUCCCCAUGGCUUCUUGGGCGGAAACCGAAGGACAUUGCUCCUUUAAUAUAUGAUGCCUCCACGCGUAAGAAUUGGAAAGUGCAUGAAGCCCUCGAUGGAAAUGCUUGGAUUCUUAAGAUCAGCCACAACAUCGUCGCUUCCGUUGCCCACAUCCGUCAAUUCUUGACGUUAUGGAUGUUGGUGCAUGAUCUACACCUGGACACACAAGCUGACGAUGACAUUAUCUGGAAACAUGCCAAUAAAGGGAUCUACUCGGCGGCCACUGCAUACAAGGCACAAUUCCUCGGCUUGAUGCUCUCGCCUAUGGACUUCAUGAUAUGGAAGGCUUGGGCCCCUCCCAAGAUCAAAUUCUUUGCUUGGUUGACUAUCCAAGACCGGAUUUGGACUGCCGACAGAUUAGAGCGGCGCGGAUGGGAAAACUGUGGACUCUGCCCGCUCUGCAGGACUGAAGGCGAGACGGGCGCGCACCUCUUCUUCAAAUGCCGCUACACUAUUCGGCUAUGGAACUCGGUCAUCCUUGAAUUCGGUCUUGCUCACAUGGACACCUCUUCUUAA